rnacentral:rRNA from 1 species
UUCCGGUUGAUCCUGCCAGAGGUUACUGCUAUCAGGGUUUGAUUAAGCCAUGCAAGUUAUGUGCUUUUUGUAAACACGGCGAACUGCUCAGUAACACGCGGAUAAUCUGCCCUCAGGUUUGGAAUAACCCUGGGAAACUGGGGAUAGUACCAAAUGUUUCAAGGUUGCUGGAAUGCUCUUUGAUUGAAAGCUUCGGUGCCUGAGGAUGAGUCUGCGGCCUAUCAGGUUGUAGUGGGUGUAAUGUACCUACUAGCCAGCGACGGGUACGGGUUGUGAGAGCAAGAGCCCGGAGAUGGAUUCUGAGACAUGAAUCCAGGCCCUACGGGGUGCAGCAGGCGCGAAACCUUUACAAUGCGCGAAAGCGCGAUAAGGAGACCCUGAGUGCUAGCACAUAGUGCUGGCUGUCCAGCUGUCUAAAAAGCAGUUGUUAGCAAGGGCCGGGCAAGACCGGUGCCAGCCGCCGCGGUAACACCGGCGGCCCGAGUGGUAACCGAUUUUAUUGAGCCUAAAGCGUCCGUAGCCGGUCUAGUAAACCCUUGGGUAAAUUGGGCAGCUUAACUGUCCGAAUUCCGAGGGGACUGCUAGACUUGGGACCGGGAGAGGUCAGAGGUACUCCAGGGGUAGGGGCUAAAUCCGAUAUGGUUUCGUGCCAUUCGGUUAGCAUUCCUGUAAUCCUUGGGGGACCACCAGUGGCGAAGGCGUCUGACUAGAACGGAUCCGGCGGUAAGGGACGAAACCCUGGGGCGCGAACCGGAUUAGAUACCCGGGUAGUCCAGGGCGUAAACGCUGCAGGCUUGGUGUUGGGGACCCUACGAGGGUGCCCAGUGCCGGAGUGAAGAUGUUAAGCCUGCCGCUUGGGGAGUACGUCCGCAAGGAUGAAACUUAAAGGAAUUGGCGGGAGAGCACAGCAACGGGAGGAGCGUGCGGUUCAAUUGGAUUCAACGCNGGAAAACUCACCGGGAGCGACGAUUACAUGAAGGUCAGGCUGAUGACCUUACNUGAUUUUUCGAGAGGUGGUGCAUGGCCGUCGUCAGUUCGUACCGUAAGGCGUUCUGUUAAGUCAGAUAACGAACGAGACCCUCACCCUUAAUUGCUAGCCUAUUCUCCGGAAUGGGCGCACAUUAAGGGGACCGCUGGCGCUAAGUCAGAGGAAGGAGAGGUCAACGGUAGGUCAGUAUGCCCCGAAUCUCCCGGGCUACACGCGCGCUACAAAGGAUAGGACAAUGGGAUGCAACACCGAGAGGUGAAGCGAACCCCGAAACUUAUUCGUAGUUCGGAUUGAGGGCUGUAACUCGCCCUCAUGAAGCUGGAUUCCGUAGUAAUCGCGGGUCGACAUCCCGCGGUGAAUAUGCCCCUGCUCUUUGCACACACCGCCCGU